ACCCUCACUCUUAGGAUGCCACGUGGAGGCCGAAGCCGCACCUCCCGCAUGGCCCCUCUGGCCAGCCGGGCCCCUCAUAUGAGAGCUCCACCCAGGCCAGCACCUGCAGCUCAGCCACCAGCAGUGGCCCCAACUUCUGCAGUUGGAGCACCUGUGGCUGCGCCCUGGCGGCCUGGGCUGAUGGCCCAGAUGGCAACCACUGCAGCUGGCAUGGCUGUGGACUCUGCUGUUGGGCAUGCAUUGGGUCAUGCCGUCACUGGGGGCUUCAGUGGAGGUGGAAACGCUGAGCCCUCCAGGCCUGACAUCACUUACCAGGAGCCCCUGGGAACCCAGCCGGUGCAGCAGCAGGAGCAGCAGCCUUGCUUUUAUGAGAUAAAACAGUUUUUAGAGUGUGCCCAGAACCAGGGUGACUUUAAGCUCCGUGAAGGCUUCAAUGAGGUGCUGAAACAGUGCAGAAUUGCAAAUGGGUUAGUGUAACCAAGAAGCUCAAGUGGAAUUGAAGAUUGCCUCUGAUGACCAAGUUCAUUUAACAUCAAAAUACAAUAGUGAAACGUAGAGUGUAAAAUCACAAUAAACCUCUUCUUAAUAACCUCAUGGCUUCAGAGUGGCCACAGAAGAGGGUGUUGUACCUGUAUAGUUUCCACUGACAUGAUAUAGAGUUUGGGACUGGCAAGUGUUUGUGUGGCUUCCUUAAACAGACUGUUUUGAUGUUAUUUUGAGUUAAUUAGAAUAAAGUGAUUUUCUUCCAUGGAAAAAUAAAUAAAUAAAAA